AACGAACGCUGGCGGCAGGCUUAACACAUGCGAGUCGAGGGGUAGGGCAGCAAUGCCUGAGACCGGCGCACGGGUGCGUAACGCGUAUGCAAUCUGCCUUUUACUGAGGGAUAGCCCAGAGAAAUUUGGAUUAAUACCUCAUAGUAUAAUUGAAUGGCAUCAUUUGAUUAUUAAAGUUCCAACGGUAAAAGAUGAGCAUGCGUCCUAUUAGCUAGAUGGUAAGGUAACGGCUUACCAUGGCUACGAUAGGUAGGGGUCCUGAGAGGGAGAUCCCCCACACUGGUACUGAGACACGGACCAGACUCCUACGGGAGGCAGCAGUGAGGAAUAUUGGACAAUGGGCGCAAGCCUGAUCCAGCCAUGCCGCGUGCAGGAAGACGGUCCUAUGGAUUGUAAACUGCUUUUGUACGGGAAGAAACACUCCUACGUGUAGGAGCUUGACGGUACCGUAAGAAUAAGGAUCGGCUAACUCCGUGCCAGCAGCCGCCGUAAGAC
rnacentral:rRNA from 1 species